rnacentral:rRNA from 1 species
UACGUAGGGGGCUAGCGUUGUCCGGAAUCAUUGGGCGUAAAGCGCGUGUAGGCGGCCCGGUAAGUCCGCUGUGAAAGUCGGGGGCUCAACCCUCGGAUGCCGGUGGAUACUGUCGGGCUUGAGUACGGAAGAGGCGAGUGGAAUUCCUGGUGUAGCGGUGAAAUGCGCAGAUAUCAGGAGGAACACCUAUUGCGAAGGCAGCUCGCUGGGACGUUACUGACGCUGGAGACGCGAAAGCGUGGGGAGCAAACAGG